GCCUUGGUAGCUCAGUCGGUAGAGCAGAGGACUGAAAAUCCUCGUGUCGGCAGUUCGAUUCUGUCCUAAGGCACCA
rnacentral:tRNA from 1 species